rnacentral:lncRNA from 1 species
GGGCACAUAUGUUGGAACGGAAAUAGAGUUCAACGGUGGCUAAGCAUAUUUUUCAACAGUUGUGUGCUCAUCAAUCAAACUUAAGUUAUUUUACUGUCACGGAACCGCAAGGCUUGCUGGCUUCCAUUGUUUUUGUCUAGUCAAGAAAUUUUACUCAUUCACGGAACCAAAAGGCCUGCUGGCUUCCAUUGUUUUUGUCUAGUCAAGGUAAGUCGCAUGGUUGCAAGCCAGAGC